rnacentral:rRNA from 1 species
CACGUAGGGCGCAAGCGUUGUCCGGAAUUAUUGGGCGUAAAGAGCUCGUAGGCGGUCUGUUGCGUCCGCUGUGAAAACUCGGGGCUUAACCCCGAGCCUGCAGUGGAUACGGGCAGACUAGAGGUAGGUAGGGGAGAAUGGAAUUCCCGGUGUAGCGGUGAAAUGCGCAGAUAUCGGGAGGAACACCCGUGGCGAAGGCGGCCUGCUGGGCCGAUCCUGACGCUGAGGCGCGAAGGCGUGGGGAGCGAACGGG